AAAUGUUUCAUGCAAAAGGAUUUCUUGUGAACCGGGUUGCUUCUCACGUGGUCCUUAUGUUGAUUUUUUCAUUGCAUGUUAACUUUCCUGUGGGCCCUUGAGAGAUUCGGUCAAUAUGAUACAAUUGGGUCUGGUUCCUUUUUCCAUGGACAUUGUAUUGUUUGCCGUGAGUGACUAUCCCGUGGGCCCAUGAAAGACUCAGGUGUAAGAGUUGGUUCAACCAAUUUUGUUAUUAAAGAGGACUUGAUACCCGAAGAAGCUGAAGAAUCUUCUUGUAGCUGCGUCCAACGAUAAGGCCAAGUCUCUACAUGCAAUACUAAGUAAGGUGGCAGAUCCUUCAUGGGCGACUCUAUAGCAUUACUGUAGAGAUCCCUGUUUCCCAUCAGAAGAGUAGAAAUAUCUUCUUGAGUGAUUAAUUAGAAAGGGUUUGGUGGAGGAAAGUAAUUUCUCAUAUUCAAUGGGUUCGGUUGAGCAUUUAAAGCUUGAGAAAUACUGUAUGCUACAGUAGCUAAAGUCUUCCCAUCAUUUGGAUCAAUCGGUGCUUCCCUUCCUUUUCCACCGUCCACCAGCUCUUGAAGAGUGAUCAGAGAAGAACUGAGCUGUAGCUGGUAUGUGAUGUUACCGAUUCAGCGUGACUCAUUUUCCUGUCAGAGGCAUAAAUCCUCCCAUGAGAGUGCUUAUGUUUGGGUGAUCAGGUUUUCCAAAUCCAUGAUGAAGGAAGUUGAAGGUUGUAGUGAAGGCAAGGAGAAAGAUUUAAGUAAAGAAGGGAUUUUAAGUAAGUAAAUGUUGACACUCACCUGGCCACCAAAGAGCUAGCUAUCGCCCAUCAGAGAGCUUUUUGAGAGAGCAUUUCUAAUUUUCUUACAAUCCCCAAGUCUAAUCUGCAUAACUUUGUGCUUUAAUAGAAUGGAAGUUGGUCAAAUGAUAAUAUUGGCGAUUGGUUUA